rnacentral:rRNA from 1 species
GACGAACGCUGGCGGCGUGCUUAACACAUGCAAGUCGAACGGUGAAGCGCUUGCCUUUUUGGUGGGUGUGGAUGAGUGGCGAACGGGUGAGUAACACGUGAGUAACCUGCCCUCUUCUUCUGGAUAACCUCAUGAAAGUGGGGCUAAUACGGGGUAUUCCGGGUCUGUCGCAUGGCGGGUUUGGGAAAGAUUGCGCCUUUGGGUGUUUUCGGUGGGGGAUGGGCUCGCGGCCUAUCAGCUUGUUGGUGGGGUGAUGGCCUACCAAGGCGGUGACGGGUAGCCGGCCUGAGAGGGUGGACGGCCACACUGGGACUGAGACACGGCCCAGACUCCUGCGGGAGGCAGCAGUGGGGAAUAUUGAGCAAUGGGCGCAAGCCUGAUGCAGCGACGCCGCGUGAGGGAUGGAGGCCUUCGGGUUGUGAACCUCUUUCGCCAGUGAAGCAGGCCUGCUCCUGUGUGGGUGGGUUGACGGUAGCUGGAUAAGAAGCGCCGGCUAACUACGUG